rnacentral:rRNA from 1 species
CGCCUGUUUAACAAAAACAUCUCCUCUUGUGUUUUUUUUGAGGUAUGGCCUGCCCGCUGAUUUUUUUGAAGGGCCGCGGUAUCUUGACCGUGCAAAGGUAGCAUAAUCAUUAGUCUUUUAAUUGUGGGCUGGAAUGAAUGGUUUGACGAGAUAUAAUCUGUCUCUUUUUGAUUUAUUGAAUUUUGGUUUUAGGUAAGAAUACCUAAAUUUUUUUAUGGGACGAGAAGACCCUAUAGAGUUUUAUAUUUAUGAUGAUUUUUUUGUUGGUUUUUCUUUAUAUUGUUUUUUUUAUUUUGCUGGGGCGGCUAGGAGAUUUGUUUAACUCUUCUUUUAUUUUUUUAUUUAUUUAUAUUUUUUUGAUCCUUUUAUUAUUGAUUUUAAGAUUAAAUUACCUUAGGGAUAACAGCGUAA